rnacentral:rRNA from 1 species
GCCUAAAUCCCUAAAGGCACCAAAUGCUAUGUGAUCUUAGAAGCUAAGUAAUUUCAGGCCUGAUUAAUACUUGGAAGGGGAACCGCUAAUGAAUACCAGGUGCUUUAAGCC